ACAGCACCCUGACUCCCUUUGCCCUUCAGACUGUCCAAUUUCUGACGGUACCAUUGAGAAAGGUUUAUAGAGCAGAGAGAAUCACUCUUGUGAAGAUGGGUUCAAGCUACUCCGACAACUGACAGCUCCUAGAACGUUCAUUGUAAGGCACCUUUGAUAGGACAAAAUUCUUGCCUUUUCUAAGUUAGGGCUACUAGCCAAGAAGACAAAUCAAUUCUUGCCGGAUUAAGAAAUUAACUCUCAUUAGUCAAAAACUCAUUCAACUCAAGGAUGGCUUCAAUUUGGCUCUCCGCUGUUACCGUCAUAGCUAUUCUGAAAGGCAUCUAUGGAGCAGACUCAGUGACCCAAACUGACGGCAGCGUUUUCAUCUCCCAAGGGGACCCGGUGCUUCUUAACUGCACGUAUCAGAUUUCUGGGUUUGCUUACCUCUUCUGGUACGUUCAGGACUCCAACCAGCCCCCCAGGCUCUUCCUCAGGGACCCGGGAAGCGAGGACUCAGAUGAAGGGAUCACCAAAGGGUUCAAUGCCACCCAUGAUAAAAAGCACAAAUCCUUCCAGCUGUGGAAACCGCCCGGCGAAGUGAGCGACUCCGCGACCUAUUACUGCGCCGGGAGAGACACAGUGACACAGACCGGCGGGGGAGCUGAGCAAAAACCGCGCAGGGGCUUGUCUAUGCUACCAAGUUUUGUCCUUGAAACUAAUGCCGACACGAAAAAAAUCGACAAAAGCAAAGUCUCCAAAGCGAAUCUACCUUUGCACCCUCUGUCGACAGAUCAUGUCCACAUUCAGGGCACCAUUGUCCGCAGUGUGAGCAAUGCAAUCUGCAAAGAGCAAUUAAUCCUGGUGGAGGCUGAGCGCCAGAUCCCCUGA